UGUUAGUCAACACAAGAGUAAAAACAAAUAUUUCAAAAAAUAUUAGGAGAUAACAACACAUAAAACAAUAAUAUUUGGAAUCAUCAAAACUAUAUAAGUUGCAAGAAUGUAAAACAUACAAAUAACAACUUUCCUAACAGAGUGGGGGGGAGUGGUUAACCGUGGCUUGCGACUGGUGCUUCUACCCCGAGGUCUGGAAGUUGUGUUAUAGGGAAGAAUGGCGUCUUUAGGACAUAGAGAAGGGGGGUGCAUGAUGGAGCCGCACUGAGAAUAGUGUUCCAAUUUCCAAUCAAAUUGGAUUAUAGGCGGGGAAGUUUUACAUCAACAUAGUAGAAAAUUUCAUCAGGGAGAGUGGAGGUGCUAGUGAUUUGCACACAAACUCUAGCAAAGGUUAAACGGUUUUGGCGGUAGUGAGAGCAUCGACAGCUAGAGGGAUUCCAACACAACUAGCAAGUUUAGAUAUACCAUCCAAUGUUCAGCAAAAGAGGGGACAUUUCAUAAUUUUGAUCCAAAGAAGAAUCGAUGGGAACUCUUCGCACUUGGGGACAAAAUUCAAACUCCACUUUUGAAGGAUGAAGGGGUUUUUGAAGAAAAACUAGGGGCCUCCUAUCUAUGCAAGUUCAUAAUCUUCAAUCACUGUAAAUUUCAGGAGGAAGAAACCAUCAUCCAUUGUUAGAAGAGAGAAAGCUCCUUUGAGUUUCCAUGUCUUUUUGAUAACAGAUAGCAAAGCCUCGUAGAAUGACCUUUUGCCCACUAAAUAUCCAACAAGAGAGAGAUACCAUUCAGGGGCUCCAGCAAGGAAUUCAUCACUGGUAAAUUGGGCUAUGAGAUUUUGUGUGGGGACAAAAGCUAGGGAAUUAGAGAACUCCAUUUGAAACUUGAGGGGUUAAGGGGGGGAAGGAGUAAGCCAAAACCUAGGGCGACAAAGAAACCCUACCAGAGCUUGCUGAAAAUCACUUGAUAAAGCUAAUGAUUUCAAACCUCUGAUCCAAAAAAUCACUUCUUCUCUUGUUGGUUGGAAGGCGAAAAUUCUAUCCUUUGUUGGUUGGAUUUAAUUUCUCAAAUUCACCACAAGCAACACGUUGACUUAUUGGAAUAGAGAUUCUAUCUUGCCUAAAGGAUGUUGCAAACUCAUUAACCUUUUGUGCUCUAGAUUCCUGUAUUUUGGGGAAACUAAUCUCAGGAAAAUCCACACCAUCUCCUGGAAAAACACUUGCAUUCCCAAACAAAAUGGUGGACUGGGUAUCCCAUCCAUUGACUGCCUUCAGCACAACUUUGCCUGCUCGAUGAUCAGGAGAUUUUUAAAUAAAAGGAGCCUUCUUUUUGACUGGUGGAGAGCAAAAUAUUAUUCUUUAUGGAACUUGUUGCCUAUUAAUAGCUUUGCUUAUUGGAGCUACCUUUGCAACAAGAUUGUUUCUAUUAAACAUUGCCUUACUUUGUUUGUCCACUAUAGUAACAAUUUAUCCUUCUUAUGGGACCCUUGGUGGAAUGGAAAAUCUGUGGUAGAUUUAUUGAAUGAAAGACUGAAGCUACGGAACUUUACCUAUAUGUCUAAUUGGAAAGUUUCUAUGGUUAUCAAUGAUAUCAAUUGGACAUUACCUAAUAGUUUUGAUGUUUCUACUUCUUUUGUCAUUUGUACCAUACAUAUUAACAAUUCCUUGGAAAACCACCUUUGGUUGGAUGCCUAAAACCCCAAAUUUCACACUUUCCAGGAAUUUUUAUACACCUCUCUUGACAAAGUUUCUUGGCACAAGCUUGUCUAGCAUAAAAAAGCUGCUUUAAGAUUCUCGAGCUUUGCUUGGAUGGCUUUCAAAGGGGGGUCUCAAAACUGCAGAAUUUUUAGCUACUCGUGGGAUUGCAAGUGGAACUAAAUGUCGCUUUUAUCUAGAGGAAUCUGAAACUACAUCCCACAUUUUCUUUGAAUGUAACUUUACCUUUAACAUUAUCAAGAAUCUCCUUCCCUGGCUGGGAAAUAUCCUUAUGAGACCCAACCUGCAUCAAGCUCUUGAUAGUGUUAUGGACCGAGGGCUCUCUGGUAUUCAAAUAUGUUACUACAUUCUUGCUAGCUGUGCUACCGUGUACUUUAUAUGGAGGGCUAGAAACGAUAUAUUAUUUGGCGAUAUUUUUGAUUGCCAAGCCACGAUUACUACUAAGAUUAAACAAGUUGUUAUGACGAAAACUGCAAAGUUGAAGCACACCGAGGAUGUUAACUAAUUGCUUCACCAUUUUCUCGGUUGCUAUUUGCCAAAUGCUGCCUAUAUUUUAUUUUGAAAGGACGAUGAUGAUUGCUGCCUAUGCAGCAGCCCCUUGGACGGUCACUUUGGCAACCAGGAUGGUCACUUUGGCAACCAGGGGCAAGGCUUUGGUGUAGUCCCUUCUAGUUCUUGACCCUACAAGAGUUUUUUCACGUUGAAGCCGCCUGAGUCCUUCAAGUUUUGAUCUUCAUUUUAGUUUCUUUUUGGCUUUGUAAUUUUUGAGUCGUUGGCUACUCUUUUUGUUGUUGAGUGCCAGGACUAUAGUUUUAUUUUUACUCACUUGUAACUUUUCAUUUAUCAAUGAUACAUGAUUUGAUCUUAAAUUUCCAAAAAAAAAGAAAAAAUAUAAUAAUAAAAAAUAAAAAAUUAAAAGUCUACCCUAACUUUUCGCGCCGAAACCCCAAGUCAAAUCAAAAGGUGGGUCCCUCCCACCUUUUUCGCUCUUCCUUUUCUCUUUUUAUGCCCUUCCAUUCAAAUAAAAUGAGCACUUACCAGUUACCACAAUAGCCUUCACCGUCGCUCAGAUUGAGAUGGAUGCCACAAUCGAUCAUUGCACAAAGUCAGUUGGAGGGUCAUUACUUUGAUAUGCACUUCGAUCUGCAACCAAAGGGAAGGAUGUGAAGACAUCGAAUGAGGAGACGCAUAAAAGUUUGGCUACUAGAAGGUUGAGGACUGCACCAAAUUUGGCCAAGAGCAUGAGCGAAGUCUAUCUUUUUGGGAAAGAAAAGUAUGCGAAGCCUCCAAAGAGGAUCUCAAACCUUAUAAAGUCUACUAAUAGCAGCCCUCAUUCCAUCUCUGUUGGAAUCCUCACACCACUAUCUGAAAAUUAAAAGAAACAGAUUGAACAAUCAGUUGAAUUUUGACACACCUAUGUCUGAUGCAUCGAAAUAUAGCUACAGGAAAAGGUUCAAUGUGUUAUCUUUAG